rnacentral:lncRNA from 1 species
UGGAGUGAAGGAGGGGUGAAAAUUCUUAGGAAAAUCUGCAGACCCCAAAUGCUUGAAAAUACUUCCAAGAUGUCGACUGGCUAUGCUGCAAGUCCUGCUGGCCUGAAUCAAUUCUGAGCCCAGCUGACCUUUGCUUUCUGGAGAUGAGAAUUGUCAAAUUGUGUAGACAGUGUUCAAAUGGAUCAUUCAUUAUUAGCAGCACCACCAAGUUGAAAACCUACUUUUUCUGGUCUGCAGCUGAUUGAUGUACAUUACUCAUAUCAGGCUAAUGGCACUUUAUUUUCCAACAGUAGCAAGUAAUGAGUGACCUUGAGUGCAUAUUGUUUCCCUGAAAGGGUUUGUUGCUCUGCUUCCUUCAUAAGCAACCCAAGGAAACAGGCCUCUGUAUUGGUGUUUUGCAGCAAACCUCAUUUCUUUCAUGGCUUUCUGUAAAAGAAUUUGAUACAGGGAUAGAAGCUAACCUCAGUGAGUAAAUGAAAUAUUGAUCCAUGCUACUCUGGCCUUGCCUUCACCUUGUCCCAGGGCGGUGAGUUACUGACUUUUCCGUUUUGGCUGUAAUAGGAAUUAUUACAACAGGCCUGUGCAAGUAAUUACUUGGCAUGGUAAAAAAGGAGGGUCCAUCAUAUAUUUCUGUAGAGACGUUAGUUUCCAUCAGCCCAGCAGUCUGCUUUUUUGGCUCUGUCUUUUCUACUCUUGAUUCAAUUCUUUUAACCAUCAUUAAUCACACUCCUUGUCAGCAGAAGUUUAUCAAAAGUAUUAAGUGAGCAAGGUUGCCUGGCCUCCUUAAAAAAAUCAGCCAACAUGGGGCAGUAAAUUUCGAAAUAUGGAAGGUUGGUUCCGUGAUAUAUAUGAGUGUCUCUUCAGCUAGAAUGAGCCGUUUGUUUUAGUGAUAGAUAUUGUAGUUUGAGCUGUGAUAGAAUCCUUCUCAAGUUUAUAUGUCGUGGGCUAUCGUUUAUGAGAGACCAUGUGUUUCUAAAUGGUGAAGGUCAUGGCUGAUGGCAAAAGUAAAAGCAGUGGUGAUUCAUUAAAAAUAGUUAAUAGGGCCUGCGGCUGACAGGGAUAAAUCGGAACAUGUGGCUUGCCAACCCACCAGCACCUAAGAUGACAUUGCGUUUCUUC